GAUGAACGCUGGCGGCGUGCUUAACACAUGCAAGUCGAACGAAGCACUUAAGAUUGAUUCUUCGGAUGACGUCUUUUGUGACUUAGUGGCGGACGGGUGAGUAACGCGUGGGUAACCUGCCUCACACAGGGGGAUAACAGUUAGAAAUGACUGCUAAUACCGCAUAACCCGAUAGGAUCGCAUGAUCCAGACGGAAAAGAUUUAUCGGUGUGAGAUGGACCCGCGUCUGAUUAGCUAGUUGGUGAGGUAACGGCCCACCAAGGCGACGAUCAGUAGCCGGCCUGAGAGGGUGAACGGCCACAUUGGGACUGAGACACGGCCCAAACUCCUACGGGAGGCAGCAGUGGGGAAUAUUGCACAAUGGGGGAAACCCUGAUGCAGCGACGCCGCGUGAGUGAAGAAGUAUUUCGGUAUGUAAAGCUCUAUCAGCAGGGAAGAAAAUGACGGUACCUGACUAAGAAGCCCCGGCUAACUACGUG
rnacentral:rRNA from 1 species